UUAAGAAUAUUAAAUAUUCUAGAAAAUAACAGUCUCUGAAAUUAACAUAUCAUUGUUGCAGAACAUACCAGCUACUGCUAUCUUUUUCCAGGCACCUUCAUCAAAAUAUGGUUUCAUAAUAUGGUUAACAUAACCAAGUGCCUCUGCUGGUGGAUGGUCAUCGUCCAGUUGAAUGUCUCUUGCAGUUAACAGCUUCUUGGAUGAAAAAGCAUUUUCAAUAUUUUCUUGUGACACACCAAAACCUUCCAGUUGUUCUCUGAUUGAAUCUGAAAUUGCAAAUGGAACUUUACAUGUCCUUUUUCUUUUCUUUGUUGACUUGAACUUACGUUGUGGUGUGACGUGUUUAUUUGCUGGUAAUCUGGUGACCAACUUCAAGGGUAAUUGACAUCUUUUUUCUUUCACAGCAAUGAAUAAGUUUUUGGCUGCUGUUAUCUUAUUAUUGAGAAUUUUUAUUGCUUCGUUGUCUUCACAUUCAUCAAGUAGUAUGGUAAGAUCCAAAAGUUGUCGCUUAACUGCUUCCUUUAGUGUGGUUUUGUCUUUUUCUUUCUGUGUGUUGUUGCUCAUAACUUGUGAUGCAAGCUCCUGUACUUCAGAUUCUUUGUAAUUUAGUUGAAUGCUGACUUCAUUUAUUUUGCCAUUGUCAAGUUCUUUUUGUGACAAGAAGUUAUUCAAAAGAUGUAUAUGUUUGCAAAUUGUGCUAUUUAUAAGGCUAUCAGGACAAUCACAAACAUAUUGAUGGAUGCAAAUAUCACAUUCAGCACAUAUGCCAGGUUUACAACAUUGUCUCAGAUCCAACAUCCAAGUACAAUCGGUUUAUUGUCAACCAGCGUAUGUGGUCACUUGACACCCAUCUGUCAACACAUAACCUGGACAUCUCAUUGGAUGACAAUCCUCGUUCUUUCAUAAUUUCACUAUAUGGGGUUCUGUACAAAAGCUUCUGAAAGGCUGUAAUUGAAGCAGCUGAUGGAUGUUCUACCACCGUGUCUGGUUUGUUCAAUGGUUGGGAAAACCAGGCAAUUUCCUCUUCGACUUCUACUUGUAUGCUUUUUAAGGUGUGAAAUUUCUGAAGAUUCGUGAUGCAAUUGAUAUCUAACCUUCCUUGUGAUGUGUUGAUACAUGCUACUUUGCUUGUACUUGAUGCCUCAACUAUUUUUCUCCAUUGUUGCAACUGGUCCAUACUUGGCAUAGAUGUUACAUGGCAAGGAUCAACAACUGAAUCAUCAUCUGUACUGCAAUUUACACCUUUGGUAAACCAUUUCUCAAUCUUUGGCAACAAAGACUCAAAAGCCUGACCUCUAGUUAGCUUGCUCAGUACGGGCUCUAUCUUUUUUGAAGCUUUUUUGAGAUACAAAACCUCCAAAUAAAUUAUGUACAUAUAACUAACAAAACUAA